GGGAAGCAUCAAAGAGAUGAGAUGCUUCCCGAUACAAUCUUCCUACAGAAAAGCUCUGAUGUUUCCUUGCUUGUAGUAACUCGAGCAAGAUUCUGCAAGUCGGAAACCUCCAGAGACACGA